rnacentral:RNase_P_RNA from 1 species
UGGGUCGGCCAGGCGGUCGCGACAUAGUCGAGGAACGUCCGGGCUCCACAGAGCGAGGUGGUGGGUAACGCCCACCCGGGGUAACCCGAGAGAUAGUGCAACAGAAAGCAAACCGCCCGCAAGGGUAAGGGUGAAACGGUGGUGUAAGAGACCACCAGCGGAGUAGGUGACUAUUCCGGCUAGGUAAACCUCACCUGGAGCAAGACCAAGCAGGAGGCAGGGCUGCUCGCCUAAUGCCUCCGGGUAGGUUGCUAGAGCCACCGAGCAAUCGGUGGCCGAGAUAGAUGACCGUCAGCGCGAAAGCGCUACAGAACCCGGCGUAUCGGCCGACCCAUCAU